UACGGGGGGGCAAGCGUUGUUCGGAAUUACUGGGCGUAAAGGGCGCGUAGGCGGCCUUCUAAGUCAGACGUGAAAUCCCUCGGCUUAACCGGGGAACUGCGUCUGAUACUGGAUGGCUUGAGUUUGGGAGAGGGAUGCGGAAUUCCAGGUGUAGCGGUGAAAUGCGUAGAUAUCUGGAGGAACACCGGUGGCGAAGGCGGCAUCCUGGACCAACACUGACGCUGAGUGAGCGAAAGCCAGGGGAGCAAACGGG
rnacentral:rRNA from 1 species